UAUCAUACACUAAAUCGUUGAUAUUAUUCUGUUCUGAUUAUAUGAAUAGUUACUAUUCGAGUAAUCGUUCUUAAAUCUUCAAGUUUUUAGCUAAUUUUUCAACUUUUCAUGCGUCUUUGCUAGAAAUGAUAAAAAAAUAUUUUUGUAAGAUACACGUAAUAAUCCUGAAAUCCAAACUCGUGAUGCAACUGAGUGUGGCGUGUGUCUUCACUCAACGAAGCAAAAAUAAAAAAUGGCGAGCGUGUGGUUGAAGUGAGCAGAAGCUCGCAUGUAAAAAUGGCAGAUAUUUUCAGCCGAAAUCUCGGAAACGUUCGGAAACAUAUAUACAUCUUCUGGUAGCGGUGAAAUCGUCGAGGAGGAAGUCAAAAAAUACGUCCGGCCUAGUUCCUCAGCCACGAUUGCGACCACCAGACACCAGCCGCUGCCGACCGUACCGCCAUCAGCGGCAACAGCAGCACCACCAAACGGUUCCCUUGGAUUAUAACCCGCUUUCCGCUGGAAGAGCAGAAGCAGGAUGUUAAUUUUUCUUCUCCCACGGCACAAGAGCACUCGGCAACAGACUGGGCACAGCGGUCACAAGUGGUCAGGGACGAUAUGCUGGAGUCUCAAGUGUUCGCCGAAACAAAUCAUAACAGAACACAAAUAGAAUGUGUACUUUUUUGCUGUGAUUUCGUGUCCCGAACCAAACGGCACCAGUUUCUUCCAAUUGUAAAAUAAGCUCCGGCAAAAAAAAGUGCCAGUGCCAAAAUGAAUACCAACACUUCCGGCACGCUGUCGAACGGGCCAGCGGAAACGACGAAAAAUUCUGCGGUUGAAAUCGCUCAAAAACAGAAAGCUCUGCAGGCACGUCUUCAACUGCCAUCAUUGUCAACGGAUUCCCGGACAAGUGAUUCGGAACCGUGUGAGCCACUUGCAGAAAUUCAGGAACGGAAGAAUCUUUUUCCAGAAAUAACUAUCCCACUGGCUAAAAGCAGAAACAACAGGAAGGUGGUGAACAUUCUUGAACUGCUAAGUAAGAGCACAAUUGAUCGUGAACCCAAUGCCAAAGGUUUCUGCAGAACCACUGCCAAAGCCCAGUAAAAUUUGCCCAUCGGUUGGAGCCAGUGGUCAGGAAGCCAGUAAACUUUACUGGGAGCAUUCACACUUGCCUUGGUUGAAGGAAAAUUUUUAUUGUUAAGUUUCUCGAGAAUAAUUUCUUUUAUGCGACUUCUAAACGAGGAAUCGUGAUACGGAAAUUCUAGAGAGAGUAAACCUAGAUUGGUGAUUCGAAUGGUAAUGGCGGUUCAAAAUGAAAGCAUUCUUGACUUGGAUCGGGACUAAAAACCGUUGAUGGAAUGCCCAAAGGAAGAACAGACAGCUGAAGGCGGAACAUGCAAAUAUUGCCUAACAACAAUAUUUAAGCUUCCCACCAUCAAUCGAUUCAUAAUGUCACCAGGUGCACCACUAUCACCAUGGCAUCAUCAACAGCAGCAACAGUAGAUCUCUGGCGGAUGGAGAAUGUUCAACAUUCUGGGUCAUCUGGUAGAAUCGAACACGACGAAACAGCGACCAUCAGUAAUGAAGUGAGAAUAUUGUUUUUUUUUUGUUUUUGCAAAAAGAAAUUCUUAAUAAUGGAUUUAUUUUAAUUUCAGAUUUAUUUAAAACUCUGGAUACUCCGUAACAAACGCCGAUGAACGAAGCGAAACCACUGCCAGGAGUGUACAAUAGUCAUCAAACGCAGCAAGAAAUCUACUUCCAACUGAAUCGAGAAGUUGGGCAAUUGACAACAGGAGCCGAAAACCAUUCCAUCGAUACAGCGGGAAUACUACCUUGGCAUUAUUUACUGGAACUGUUUCUAUAGGAUCCGAAACUGUAUUGUAGUUUUGAAAAUUCAGUAGCUUUCUCUGCUCGAAUGCUGCCUUGACUAUUCUGGGCAUUCCGGGUGGGAAUAGUACUCCGAUGAGUCUCAGAAAAGCAAGCUGAAGAAUCACUAUAAAAUUUAUCAAUUUUAGACAAGCUGCUGGAAGAUUUUAGUUAUUCACUAAGGAUCUGAAUUAAUGACGAUAUUUUUUUUCAAUUCAGGUUUUUUUAAUUCUAAAAUUUAUAAUUUAUUGUAUACAUUUUCUGUAAACAAAUUAAAAUUGAAACAAUAGUUCAAUAAACAAUAUUAUCUCUACAUGAA